rnacentral:lncRNA from 1 species
ACACUGCGGAAUGUACUCCAAGAAGGUCAAAGGAUGUUACAGAACUCCCGAGAUGAAGCUGAAGGUUGGAGAGAAUGGAAGAUUGACAUGGAGAUGAUGGCUUAGAUAUGGACUAAAACUGCCUCUUCUUAGCUGGAAGACCCUGCAACAUUUGCUUGCCAGAAAGCACAAGAUGAGCUGGAAAGGGGAGCAUGGCCAAACACACCACCAGAUCACAUAAUCUAGAAGAUCCUGUGUGGAACAGAGACUCAGAGCUCAAAUGUGAACAAGAAAUCCACUUUGUUCUUCUAAGCCAUGAGGAUCAUUUGCCAUAAUACAGACCACACCCAGAUGAUCACCAGAACUAUAGCAGGAGAAUAAAAGAUACGGGCUCAUGGAACCAAAGACAGAGUGACCAACUCCGCACCUGAGUGGCAUGAAGACCCUAAAACCUUCAGUUAGUCCUCUGUGACUCGACUUUCUUGUCUGUAAGCUGUGGGUAACAAGAAAUCCACCAGAGAGGUGGAUCUCAAUUACUUCUCUACUGCUGUGAUGAAACACCAUGACCAAAGCAACCUGACGGGAAAGGGUUCACUUGGCUUACACGUCCAUCCCAUAGUCAGUCACUGGAAGGAGUCAGGGCAGGAACCUGGAGGCAGGAGCUGAUGCAGAGGCCACGGAAGGAUGCUGCUUACUGUCUUGCUCACAUGGCUCACUUAGCCUGCUUUCUUCUAUAACUCAGGACCACCACCCCAGGGAUGGCUCCACCCACCAUGGGAUGUGAAACUCCCAAACCCUUUAGUUAAUUAAUAAAAUACUUAACAGCUGAA